rnacentral:rRNA from 1 species
ACGAACGCUGGCGGCGUGCUUAACACAUGCAAGUCGAACGGUAAGGCCCCUUCGGGGGUCCACGAGUGGCGAACGGGUGAGUAACACGUGAGCAACCUGCCCUUGACUUUGGGAUACCAGCUGGAAACAGCUGCUAAUACCGGAUAUGACCUCUUCUCUCAUGGGUUGAGGUGGAAAGCUCCGGCGGUCAGGGAUGGGCUCGCGGCCUAUCAGCUUGUUGGUGAGGUAAUGGCUCACCAAGGCUUCGACGGGUAGCCGGCCUGAGAGGGCGACCGGCCACACUGGGACUGAGAUACGGCCCAGACUCCUACGGGAGGCAGCAGUGGGGAAUAUUGCACAAUGGGCGCAAGCCUGAUGCAGCAACGCCGCGUGCGGGAUGACGGCCUUCGGGUUGUAAACCGCUUUCAGUAGGGACGAAGCUAACGUGACGGUACCUACAGAAGAAGGACCGGCUAACUACGUG